GCCGUGUCAUCAUCCGGCUCUCGUCCGGAUCCCAAUCAUAAUUCAUAAUAAUAACAUAAUUAUUAAUAUCCUGUUCAUAAAAAAUAAAAAAUUGCCCCGGCGGCUCUUAUCUACGUCACCGUCACCGCAUCUUCCUCUCUCAAGUCUCAACCCUCGAACAGUCAUUCUUCAGCAGCCAGGAACUGGCAGCGGAGAAGGAGAAAAGUCGUGAUCGAACCAACUCGGCCGUCAUGAAGAGAUUUGUGGCUGAAUAGAGCGCAAUCUCCGGCGAAGUAGGUUUGCGACGGAAGGCUUUGUGUCCGCGGAAGAUCGUUCGAAGGAGGGUGGUUGAGAUAAGUUAAGAAGUAUCCUCGAUUUCUCUCGGCUGCAAUGCAUUUGACUAGCUCGAUUUUAUUUUUUGGGUACAAAGAUUGUUUUGGUUGAUUGGAAAAGCUUAGUUAAUCGGGUGUCGAAAACAUAAAAAUCAAACAAUAUAUCCCUUAGCAGUUGAAAAUCAACAUUCGGAGAAAACUUUCGGAGCAAAUAGUGUAAACAGAAAGGCUGUAUAUUGGAAGGCGACGGGCGAGGGGAAGACUGAACGAACGUAUUGGGUGGUAAUAUGGUCACAGUUUUGAGUACAUGGUUAUCGAAAACUGUUCUUUCAUUGUAGAAGACAGGGUGCCAAGUAAGCUUUCGAGAAGAUUAAAGGCAGGAGCAGGAAAUAGAAAAAG